GGAGAGAUGGCCGAGCGGUCUAAGGCGCCACGUUCAGGUCGUGGUCAUCGAUGAUGGCGUGGGUUCGAAUCCCACUCUCUUCA